CUACGGGUUGCUCCAGUGGGGAAUAUUGCACAAUGGAGGAAACUCUGAUGCAGCAACGCCGCGUGGAGGAUGACACUUUUCGGAGCGUAAACUCCUUUUAUAAAGGAAGAAGAUGACGGUACUAUAUGAAUAAGCGCCGGCUAACUCCGUGCCAGCAGCCGCGGUAAUACGGAGGGCGCAAGCGUUACUCGGAAUCACUGGGCGUAAAGAGCGUGUAGGCGGAUUAAAAAGUCAGAAGUGAAAUCCUAUAGCUUAACUAUAGAACUGCUUCUGAAACUCUUAAUCUAGAAUAUGGGAGAGGUAGAUGGAAUUUCUGGUGUAGGGGUAAAAUCCGUAGAGAUCAGAAGGAAUACCGACUGCGAAGGCGAUCUACUAGAACAUUAUUGACGCUGAGACGCGAAAGCGUGGGGAGCAAACAGGAUUAGAUACCCCGGUAGUC
rnacentral:rRNA from 1 species